rnacentral:lncRNA from 1 species
CUCAGCCCUUUCUCCCUGCUUCCGCUUCUAAGCACAGGCAGCUCUCUACCAGGCAGUCUUCAAGGAGCUGUCUACUUUAAUGGUUUGUAGUGCAUAUCUGAUUAUCUUGAAUCAGAUUGGAACAUGCCUCUUCUUGACUGCUCUAGCUACUGUGUUGCCUCUUUACCUCUAUGGAGGUAUUCAACUGUGAGAAAGAAGAGACAAGGAAAGGAAGGACCAUUUUAAUCCUAUUGUCCAACAGUUCCAGGUUAAGUCAUGGCACAUGGAAGAAAGAAGAAAACAAGAAAGGAAAGAGGGAAAAGCUAUAACUCUUGACAAAUUGAACUUGGAAUAAGGAAGACCUAAGUUCAAAUCUAGAUUCAAUA